rnacentral:rRNA from 1 species
GGAGGAAGGUGGGGAUGACGUCAAGUCAUCAUGGCCCUUACGACCAGGGCUACACACGUGCUACAAUGGCGCAUACAAAGAGAAGCGACCUCGCGAGAGCAAGCGGACCUCAUAAAGUGCGUCGUAGUCCGGAUUGGAGUCUGCAACUCGACUCCAUGAAGUCGGAAUCGCUAGUAAUCGUGGAUCAGAAUGCCACGGUGAAUACGUUCCCGGGCCUUGUACACACCGCCCGUCACACCAUGGGAGUGGGUUGCAAAAGAAGUAGGUAGCUUAACCUUCGGGAGGGCGCUUACCACUUUGUGAUUCAUGACUGGGGUGAAGUCGUAACAAGGUAACCGUAGGGGAACCUGCGGUUGGAUCAC